rnacentral:tRNA from 1 species
AGCUCCGGGGUGUCGGCACGUCAGAUUGCAAAUCUGAAGGAGUAGGCUAGUUGCCUGCCGGGGCUU